UACAGAGAGUGCGAGCGUUAAUCGGAAUUACUGGGCGUAAAGCGCAUGUAGGCGGAUAUUUAAGUCGGAUGUGAAAGCCCUGGGCUUAACCUAGGAAUUGCAUUCGAUACUGGAUAUCUAGAGUAUGGUAGAGAGAAGUGGAAUUUCCGGUGUAGCGGUGAAAUGCGUAGAUAUCGGAAAGAACAUCAGUGGCGAAGGCGGCUUCUUGGACCAAUACUGACGCUAAAGUGCGAAAGCGUGGGGAGCAAACAGG
rnacentral:rRNA from 1 species